GAUGAACGCUGGCGGCGUGCCUAAUACAUGCAAGUCGAGCGAACAGACGAGGAGCUUGCUCCUCUGACGUUAGCGGCGGACGGGUGAGUAACACGUGGAUAACCUACCUAUAAGACUGGGAUAACUUCGGGAAACCGGAGCUAAUACCGGAUAAUAUAUUGAACCGCAUGGUUCAAUAGUGAAAGACGGUUUUGCUGUCACUUAUAGUUGGAUCCGCGCCGCAUUAGCUAGUUGGUAAGGUAACGGCUUACCAAGGCAACGAUGCGUAGCCGACCUGAGAGGGUGAUCGGCCACACUGGAACUGAGACACGGUCCAGACUCCGACGGGAGGCAGCAGUAGGGAAUCUUCCGCAAUGGGCGAAAGCUUGACGGAGCAACGCCGCGUGAGUGAUGAAGGUCUUCGGAUCGUAAAACUCUGUUAUUAGGGAAGAACAAAUGUGUAAGUAACUAUGCACGUCUUGACGGUACCUAAUCAGAAAGCCACGGCUAACUACGUG
rnacentral:rRNA from 1 species